GUGUCUCAAUCUAAUAAAUCCUGUGACUGCUCAUAAGGAUUGUUCUGAUCAAGAUCUUACUAAAUUGAAAUACAUUAAAGCAUUAUCUCCAAUACCUUGGGGUGGUCAAUAUCAUCUUAACUCAUACACUGACUUUACAAAUACUUGACUGUGCUAAAAAAUUUUUCAUCACUAAAUUAAAAAUUCAGGUAGUCUGGCACCAAUACACAAUGAGUUGCUUGUAAGUCAUCAUGGUGAUCUC
rnacentral:lncRNA from 1 species